CGUAUCCAACCUACCCCUUACGUUAGGGCGAUAGCCCGACUGAAAUACGGACGUUAAUACCCUAUGUUUUUCCAAUGAGGACAUCUGAGCUGGAACAAAGAUUCAUCGCUAAGGGAUGGGGAUGCGUCCGAUUAGGUAGUCGGCGGGUAACGGCCCACCGAGCCAUCGAUCGGUAGGGGUUCUGAGAGGAAGGUCCCCCACAUUGGAACUGAGACACGGUCCAAACUCCUACGGGAGGCAGCAGUGAGGAAUAUUGGUCAAUGGGCGAGAGCCUGAACCAGCCAAGUAAGCGUGCAGGAUGACGGCCCUAUGGGUUGUAAACUGCUUUUAUGCGGGGAUAAAGUGAGGGACGUGUCCCUUUUUGUAGGUACCGCAUGAAUAAGGACCGGCUAAUUCCGUGCCAGCCGCCGC
rnacentral:rRNA from 1 species